rnacentral:rRNA from 1 species
UACGGAGGGUGCAAGCGUUAGGCGGAAUCACUGGGCUUAAAGCGUGUGUAGGCGGAUCGUUAAGUGUCUUGUGAAAUCCCACGGCUCACCCGUGGAACGGCUGGGCAUACUGGCGAUCUUGGGCCAACUAGGGGCAGUCGGAACAAGCGGUGGAGCGGUGAAAUGCGUAGAUAUCGCUUGGAACGCCGAAGGUGAAAACAGACUGCUGGGGUUGCGCCGACGCUGAGACACGAAAGCCAGGGGAGCAAACGGG